rnacentral:rRNA from 1 species
GACGAACGCUGGCGGCGUGCUUAACACAUGCAAGUCGAACGGAAAGGCCCUGCUUGCAGGGUACUCGAGUGGCGAACGGGUGAGUAACACGUGGGUGAUCUGCCCUGCACUUCGGGAUAAGCUUGGGAAACUGGGUCUAAUACCGGAUAGGAGCCAUCUUUAGUGUGGUGGUUGGAAAGUUUUUUCGGUGUAGGAUGAGCUCGCGGCCUAUCAGCUUGUUGGUGGGGUAAUGGCCUACCAAGGCGGCGACGGGUAGCCGGCCUGAGAGGGUGUACGGCCACAUUGGGACUGAGAUACGGCCCAGACUCCUACGGGAGGCAGCAGUGGGGGAUAUUGCACAAUGGGCGCAAGCCUGAUGCAGCGACGCCGCGUGGGGGAUGAAGGCCUUCGGGUUGUAAACUCCUUUCGCUAGGGACGAAGCUUUGUUGUGACGGUACCUAGAUAAGAAGCACCGGCUAACUACGUG